rnacentral:rRNA from 1 species
GGAUCCAGACUUUGAUCAUGGCUCAGGAUGAACGCUAGCGGCAGGCUUAACACAUGCAAGUCGAGGGGCAGCGCGGGGCGGCAACGUCCUGGCGGCGACCGGCGGAAGGGUGCGUAACGCGUGAGCGACAUGCCCGUUGCCCGGGGACAACCGGUGGAAACGCCGACUAAUCCCCGAUGGGACGGAGGCCCUCAUGGGUCUCUGUUGAAAGUUACGGCGGCGACGGAUUGGCUCGCGUCCGAUUAGCUUGUUGGCGGGGUAACGGCCCACCAAGGCUACGAUCGGUAGGGGUUCUGAGAGGAAGGUCCCCCACAAUGGAACUGAGACACGGUCCAUACUCCUACGGGAGGCAGCAGUGAGGAAUAUUGGUCAAUGGGCGGAAGCCUGAACCAGCCAUGCCGCGUGCGGGAAGGAGGCCCUAUGGGCUGCGAACCGCUUUUGCCUGGGGGCAAUAAGGGCGUCGCGCACGUCCGAUGAGAGUACCAGGGGAAUAAGCAUCGGCUAACUCCGUGCCAGCAGCCGCGGUAAUACGGGGGAUGCGAGCGUUAUCCGGAUUCAUUGGGUUUAAAGGGUGCGUAGGCUGUGCGUCAAGUCAGGGGUGAAAUUCCGGGGCUCAACUCCGGGGCUGCCCUUGAUACUGUCGCGCUGGAGUGCGGAUGCCGCCGGAGGAAUGAGUGGUGUAGCGGUGAAAUGCUUAGAUAUCACUCAGAACACCGAUUGCGAAGGCAUCUGGCGAAUCCGUAACUGACGCUGAGGCACGAAAGCGUGGGGAUAGAACAGGAUUAGAUACCCUGGUAUUCCACGCCGUAAACGAUGAUGGCUAACCGCCGGCGACAUACUGUCGGUGGCCAAGCGAAAGCGAUAAGCCAUCCACCUGGGGAGUACGUCGGCAACGAUGCAACUCAAAUGAAUUGACGG